CCCCGUGAAGAAGCACCCAUUACGGAGGAUACAUUUUUUUUACAGCAAGCAGGCCCUCUUUAUUGAUUAAUUUUUUUUAGCAUCUUUAUUGAUUAAUUGUGAGGAUAGUUACAUCAUUACGGAGGAUACAUGCUAUUUAGCAAAACUUGGGGAGAUUUUGAGAUUGUAGCCACGGGACAGCAAAUUAAGCCACUAAAAUUUUGCCUAUGGGCCAAGUCCACUACAAAGUUUCUUCAUCCAAAAGAGUCCCUAUGGGGCUUUAAAAUCUCCGGAAAGAUGGAAUGGGCUGGAACUCUUUAAAAAAAAUAAUGGGCUUCAACCGUACGAGUGGCGUGGACGUAAACAAGCGCGCAGGAAAACCAACCCCUUCUCGAGGGGACACAUACGAGUGAGAAUGACGAGUAAACAUCUUUCUAAAAUUAUUAUGAGUACCCUUUUAUCGGCAAAAAAAAACAAUAGUACAGAGUAUUACGAGCAAACGUGGGUUACCGGGGAGCGGGGCCUAUCACCGUUACCUGC
rnacentral:lncRNA from 1 species